GAUUCCCCUAGUAACUGCGAGUGAAGCGGGAAAAGCUCAAAUUUAAAAUCUGGUAGUCUUUGGCUGCCCGAGUUGUAAUCUAGAGAAGUGUUACCCGUGCUGGACCGUGUACAAGUCUCCUGGAAUGGAGCGUCAUAGAGGGUGAGAAUCCCGUCUUUGACACGGACUCCCAGUGCUUUUGUGGUGCGCUCUCAACGAGUCGAGUUGUUUGGGAAUGCAGCUCAAAAUGGGUGGUGAAUUCCAUCUAAAGCUAAAUAUUGGCGAGAGACCGAUAGCGAACAAGUACCGUGAGGGAAAGAUGAAAAGAACUUUGGAAAGAGAGUUAAACAGUACGUGAAAUUGUUGAAAGGGAAACGCUUGAAGUCAGUCGCGUUGUCCGGAAAUCAACCUUGGUUCUCCUGGGUGUACUUUCCGGUUAACGGGCCAGCAUCAGUUUCGAUCGGUGGAAAAAGUCCAAGGGAAUGUGGCAUCUUCGGAUGUGUUAUAGCCCUUGGUCGUAUGCACUGGUUGGGACUGAGGAAUUCAGCACGCCGCAAGGCCGGGGUUCGCCCACGUACGUGCUUAGGAUGCUGGCAUAAUGGCUUUAAUCGACCCGUCUUGAAACACGGACCAAGGAGUCUAACAUGCUUGCGAGUGUUUGGGUGGAAAACCCGAGCGCGAAAUUAACGUGAAAGUCAAGAUCUCUGUCGCGGAGAGCAUUGACGCCCAGACCAGAAGUUUACGGACGGUUCUGCGGUAAAGCACGUAUGUUGGGACCCGAAAGAUGGUGAACUAUGCCUGAAUAGGGUGAAGCCAGAGGAAACUCUGGUGGAGGCUCGUAGC
rnacentral:rRNA from 1 species